AUCCCUUGAAAAAGCCCAACAAAAUUUAAAAACAUAGCCCAAACGUAACCAACAAACACAGAGCUCUUAUCACUCUUUCGUUGAAAGCCUGAAACUGAGAAAUCUCACAGAGCGCAUGGAGAUCUCAUAGAGCUCGACGAUCAUCGAUUAGGUACGAUCGCACAGCUCUGAUUAGGUACGAUCUCGGUUUUGUGACUCUUCCUCUCUCUUGGCGGCGUUGUGUUUCUCAGCUCCGGUCAGGCUUUUUGGACGCUGAUCUCAAAGGGUGCUAGAUUUGGUUCCAAUCCUGUUCUUUCAACCUGCCUCUGCAUUUUCUUCCCAAACGUGAUUUUAAAUAUAGCAAAAAGGUAACAAUUCUCCUUUAUUUAUUUAUUUUGGGUUAAGUAAAAAGUGCAACAGCAAAGCUAUAUAAAUAGCAUGCCUUUUUAUCAAUUUUAUUUAUUUAUUUAUUUUUUUCUGUUGUAUGGUGAGUCUGCUUGCUUUUAUGUGCAUAAGACAGUUGUAUACCUGACAUGAUAGUGGAUAGUCUUGAUAAACUAUUGUUCUCACUUUUCAUUAAUUGUAAAUUUACUAGAGAGAUUGCUAUGUGCUAUUGCUAUGGUUGAGAAUUAAUUGCCUCUGUUAUGUCAUUAGUUGCAAAAUGCUUUAUUUGGUUUGAUGCAUAAUUGAAUUGAAUUUGAAUGUGAUGUGGUGCAUUUUGUGAGAUUGAAUUGAAUGUGAUGUUGUAGAAAGGAUAAACUUGCUCGAAAUUGGUGGUUUAUUCUUUAUUGCUUCUUGUGUAAUUUGAUGUCACUUGAUAUAGUUUAUAUCAAUAGUGGAGGGACUGCAUACACAAGAAUUAUGAGAAAAGGAACUUUAUGUGGAGAACUCUUCAAGGAGAAGGGAAAACCCACCAUGAGAGUUGAGAAGUUGUUGAUUAGAAUGAGUUUUAGAUACUUUCUAUUAUCAAGCUUAAUCUUCACUCUGACAGAACCUCAGUGUCCACUUGGCUUUCUUCGUUAAAAAAAGACCAUUUGACUCCCCCCUGCCCCCUUUCCUCUUUUAUUUCUUGAGGGAGAGCUAUCUAUGUAGGCUUUGGCACAUCAUAUAUCCAUUUCUGUUUGGUGAGCUCUAGAGAAUUGGUGCAUACACUGAAUCACUUAUUCCUGUCCUAGUGAGUCUUCUAUAUUGUGUCAUUAUUUUUGUUAUGAAGUUUGCCACCCAAGCGUAACUUGUAAUUGUGGAAGUUGACAUUUACUAUCUAUGCAUGGCAUGCAGCACAUGCGGCUUUUUGGUGCACUUCUAUUUUAUUGCCAACAAUGUUUGAGUUUGUUCAUACCAUUACAGUGAUAUGCACCAAGGUUUACUUGUUAGGUUUACAGAGUAUCACUAUGAUAGAAGUUACUUGUCACCUUUCUUUGCUAAAAUCACCAUUAAUGUGAUAUCUGCCAAGGUUAACCUGUCAGGUUUCCAUAACAUGGUCACUUCUUAAUGAUUGAAUCAGCUCAGCUAUUGAGGCUAACAUUAUGUCAUACCUGCCUCUCCUUCAAAUUAGCUGUCGUGUCUAAUCGGAAGUAUUACUUUCAAGUUCCAAACUUUUCUUAGUCUUAGGUGGCAACCAGGGACGGCAAUAACUGAUUUACUUUUUUCUAUUCAAUGUAUAUAUUGCUUUUAUCAUAAUCUAGAGGCCUAGGGAGAAAUUAUGGAAUGCUAGACCCUAACAUUACAGUUUGUUAGAAAUUAUGGAAUGCCUGACUUUAUACGUUAAACUAGUUGAUACUUUUUAUUAGAUUGUUUCUAGUUCCUCUUGUAUCAUAUCCUUAGAGCUUAAGAUCAUUAAGUACUUUGAAUGAGGGGGCAUUGAAAAUAUCUCAAGAUUAAAUGUCUGUGGAGGUGUUUGGACCUGAGCGUCAUGGACGAGUUCGUGGCUAUGGGGCUGGAGUCACUCCUACCAAGUUAUGGGGUUCCUCCUCAUCUAGAAUGUAUGAUCUUGAGAAGCGACUCCAAGAAUCUGAACAGAAACGCUUAGAAUCUGAACAAAAACGAAUAGAGGCUGAUGCAGAGUUGAAAUAAGAAGUAAAGCACCUCAAAAGCAUGCUCGAACAACAAGCUAUUCAAAUGACAGAACAAAGAAGACAUUUUGAGGAACAACAAGCUAGUCAAAUGGCAGCACAAAGAGCACAUUAUGACAAUAUGAUGAUGCAAAUGUUGAGUUGUAUUACCUCGCAAUCAGCCCAAUCUAGUAGUGAUCACUAAGCAAUUUGCAAGCUAAUGAGCAAUGUGACAUGCUCCAUUCCUGAGUUUACUUGUGUUUCAUCUGCAAAGGUGGCUUUGCUGUUAAUUUGGGUUGCUGAUAUAAGGAAACAUGUGAAGAAUUUAGAAUUUGGGAAGGGACACGUAUAUAAAGCUGUGCAUGUAACCGAUUUUUAUUUCCUUUCAUCACCUUUGGCCUUAUAUAGGAUGUAUUAGGAUUUGUUCUAUUCACCUACCACCAUGUCAGAUUGUGCAAAGAACCUUGUUUUUACAAUUUAAAACUCUUGCCCUUGUUGACUAUUGAAUUAGAUCAUAUAAAUAUUGCUCGGGUUAAUCUGA